GACGAACGCUGGCGGCGUGCCUAAUACAUGCAAGUCGAACGCUUCUUUCCUCCCGAGUGCUUGCACUCAAUUGGAAAGAGGAGUGGCGGACGGGUGAGUAACACGCGGGUAACCUACCCAUCAGAGGGGGAUAACACUUGGAAACAGGUGCUAAUACCGCAUAACAGUUUAUGCCGCAUGGCAUAAGAGUGAAAGGCGCUUUCGGGUGUCGCUGAUGGAUGGACCCGCGGUGCAUUAGCUAGUUGGUGAGGUAACGGCUCACCAAGGCCACGAUGCAUAGCCGACCUGAGAGGGUGAUCGGCCACACUGGGACUGAGACACGGCCCAGACUCCUACGGGAGGCAGCAGUAGGGAAUCUUCGGCAAUGGACGAAAGUCUGACCGAGCAACGCCGCGUGAGUGAAGAAGGUUUUCGGAUCGUAAAACUCUGUUGUUAGAGAAGAACAAGGACGUUAGUAACUGAACGUCCCCUGACGGUAUCUAACCAGAAAGCCACGGCUAACUACGUG
rnacentral:rRNA from 1 species